UUUCCGUAGGUGAACCUGCGGAAGGAUCAUUGCACACACAAAGUUGCAGCAAACCCUCCAGCGAACGUCGUGAUUGUCCCCUUGGCUGGUUUCGUUGGCGGAGCGGGCGUCGCUCGCUGCGUCGCGGAGCCGGCCAACCCCCCAGGGAGUGUCCUGCUCCCUGGGGCAAAACCCAACCGAUUGCGCAAUGCAUCGACACCUUCGAUAAUGACUGAGUAUGAGAAGCGAGUGGUGGGGGCGCUCCGGGCGACCGGAGCGCUCAUCACGACGAGUUGUGAUUUGAAACAAAAACAACUCUCAGCAACGGAUAUCUUGGCUCUU
rnacentral:misc_RNA from 1 species